rnacentral:misc_RNA from 1 species
CUCUCUCUUUCGAUCGGCAAGCCUCAUAUGAGGGCUGCUUUUUACUUCAAGGAGGCCUUGCAGUUACUUCUUCACAUGAACAACACUACCAACCCAUCCAGUGUGUCCACCUGUAGUCUUAUUUCCAAGAUUGGUGCUUACAAGUCUUUCUCUGAGAUCUCGCCGAUUCUUCAGUUUGCCAAUUUUACUUGUAAUCAAGCUCUCCUUGAGGCCUGCGAAGGCUUUGAUAGAAUUCAUGUUAUUGAUUUUGAUAUUGGUUUUGGUGGGCAAUG